CUCGAUGAAAAUCGCAAAGCAGCACUUUGCAGUCUGAAAAUAUACCCACAUGUUACACUCCAUGAUGAAUUGCAGAGCUACGUAGCCAUGGUGUUACAUGGUUGAUUUAGUGCAAUAAAGAAUGCCAGAUGUUUUGGUCAAAACCUCUUGCAGCUCGUGCCUCAUACCUGGAAAAACAAACUCAAUUGAUUUUAUUUCUUCUUCACAAAGAUCGGUCAUCAUAUGCUGUGGGUUCCAUCGUGGAUUCCAUUGAUGUAAAAUACUGAGAGCUUCUGUUAUACUAGCUGUUGUUUCAUCUUGUAUUACAAAGGAUGAAACGAUAGCAUAAUCAACAUUAGUCUUCACAGCAACAAAAAAUAAUGGCAAGGAAUACUUUGUGGUUUUGUAUGUGGCAUCUAGGAAAGCUAGUUCCUGACCAUAACGACAAAGUAACCUUGAUUGCCAAACCGUUUGGUGUAUAAACAAAAGUCGCCCUUUUUGCUCCUUUGCAGUCGUCAUAACCUCUUCAUUUAAACUUAUGUCGUCAUCGCUGUCUUCUUCAUUUUCUCUGGGAAAGUAUCGUCGAUUGUCACGCAGAGGUUGUUCUUUUCCUCGAAAAAGCUCAUCCUUUAUGUAUAUUUUCAAAUGACGUUUCAUCUCAUGAACAGUUCGCACUCCUUCACUGACAAGUUCUUCUAUCUUUCUAAUAACCUUUUCAUCUAGUCGUUGUGUCAUUCCGCUGUGCUGAAAUA